GAUGAACGCUGGCGGCGUGCUUAACACAUGCAAGUCGAACGAAGCAUUUAAGACAGUUUACUUCGGUUUGAAGUCUUUUAUGACUGAGUGGCGGACGGGUGAGUAACGCGUGGGUAACCUGCCUCAUACAGGGGGAUAGCAGCUGGAAACGGCUGGUAAUACCGCAUAAGCGCACAGUACCACAUGGUACAGUGUGAAAAACUCCGGUGGUAUGAGAUGGACCCGCGUCUGAUUAGCUUGUUGGCGGGGUAACGGCCCACCAAGGCGACGAUCAGUAGCCGACCUGGGAGGGUGACCGGCCACAUCGGGGCUGAGACACGGCCCAGAAUCCUACGGGAGGGAGGAGAGGGGAAUAUUGCACAAUGGAGGAAAAUCUGAUGCAGCGACGCGGGGUGAGUGAAGAAGUAGUUCGCUAUGUAAAGCUAUAUCAGCAGGGAAGAUAGUGACGGUACCUGAAUAAGAAGCGCCGGCUAAAUACGUG
rnacentral:rRNA from 1 species